rnacentral:rRNA from 1 species
AUUGAACGCUGGCGGCAGGCCUAACACAUGCAAGUCGAACGAGUGGCGGACGGGUGAGUAAUGUCUGGGAAACUGCCUUAUGGAGGGGGAUAACUUCUGGAAACUGUCUCUAAUACCGCAUACCAUCAGAUGCGCCCAGAUGGGAUUAGCUAGUUGGUGGGGUAACGGCUCACCAAGGCGACGAUCCCUAGCGGGUCUGAGAGGAGGACCAGCCACGCUGGAACUGAGACACGGUCCAGACUCCUACGGGAGGCAGCAGUGGGGAAUAUUGCACAAGGGGCGCAAGCCUGAGGCAGCCAUGCCGCGUGUAUGAAGAAGGCCUUCGGGUUGUAAAGUACUUUCAGCGGGGAGGCGUUACCCGCAGAAGAAGCACCGGCUAACUCCGUGCCAGCAGCCGCGGUAAUUC